GGUGGCUCAAUGGUAGAGUGCUUGCCUUGCAUGCAUGAGGCCCUUGGUUCGAUUCCUCAGCACCA
rfam:Dipodomys ordii contig_47820, whole genome shotgun sequence.